GACGAACGCUGGCGGCGUGCUUAACACAUGCAAGUCGAACGGAAAGGCCCUGCUUUUGUGGGGUGCUCGAGUGGCGAACGGGUGAGUAACACGUGAGUAACCUGCCCUUGACUUUGGGAUAACUUCAGGAAACUGGGGCUAAUACCGGAUAGGAGCUCCUGCUGCAUGGUGGGGGUUGGAAAGUUUCGGCUGUUGGGGAUGGACUCGCGGCUUAUCAGCUUGUUGGUGGGGUAGUUGCUUACCAAGGCUUUGACGGGUAGCCGGCCUGAGAGGGUGACCGGCAACAUUGGGAAUGAGAUACGGCCCAGACUCCAACGGGAGGCAGGAGUGGGGAAUAGUGCACAAUGGGCGGAAGCCUGAUGCAGCAACGCCGCGUGCGGGAUGACGGCCUUCGGGUUGUAAACCGCUUUCGCCUGUGACGAAGCGUGAGUGACGGUAAUGGGUAAAGAAGCACCGGCUAACUACGUG
rnacentral:rRNA from 1 species